AAUAUCACUUUCACCGUUGAAGCCAUUUUCUCAUUUCUCACAUUUCAUCCCUCUUUACUGUAUCAGUGCCUCCAUCACCUCACUUUGCUAUUGCAACCUCUUCAUUUCGCCGUCGCUGCCAUCUCCUCCUCUUCCUCACACCAAGUUCUACACCGAACGACUCAAGUAACAUUCUUGGCUACCACCUCAUCCUCAAUCUGCGUUGGUUGUCGCUAGUUCAUGUCACAGUCUCUGUCGAUGGCUUGUAGCCUUAUGUGGUGGUUUCUAUCACCGCCUCUGUCAUACAUUAUGAUCUCUAGUUUCAGUUCGCACCUCAGUAACCUUUUCAUCGAUCUCUUAUUCAAUUGUGGUUCCUUAUUUGAGAAAUUCUCAUUUUCUAGGGUUUAUGUGAUUCAUGCUAACUAAUACAUUCUUGCAUAUCAUCAUGCACCAAUUUUUAUGCUCCAGGAGAAAUUAAUUUGAAAUUUGGAUUUGCUAGUGUGAGGCUGGCUUUAGGCUCAGUGAAUUUGCAUACUCACCAUUUCGGUCCUCCUUUAAAGAUGUCAACCAUGGCACCUGAAACAUACAAGGAGGCAGUCCUUCAGGCAAAAGAACAUAUUAAGGCAGGGGAUAUUCACUUUGUGGAGAACAGAAUAAUGAGGAUUUAAAGAAGAGUGAAGUGACAACAUGUGACACCUUUCCCUUCUUAUUAAGUCAAGAUUGAUGAUCAGAGUCAAUUUAACCCUCCAAAAAAGUGCACCAUUAAUUGAAUCAUGCAAAGUCCAGAUGAAAUAUACAUGAGUUUUGCUGUUUGGUGUGACUUGUGGACUUAACUGAUCCAGUCAAGUACUUUUUCCAGGCCUAGUUGCAGUUUCAGAAGGGGAGAAAAAUAUUUGUAGAGAGGCAAAGGAGAACCAAAACCCCAUUAUAGUAAUGGCAGAGGAUAAGGGAUUCUCUGUCUUGGAUAAUAGAUUUGGGUAUGACAAGAAGAGUGACACUGAUACUAUGUAUCCUAUGUAUUUUGGUGUUUCUUGUGUGUUUUUUGCACUCCAAGCACUCACAAAAUCACAUGUUGAGGUUGAAAAAUGGAGUGAAAUCCGUGACAGCAUACUCCAAGGGAGUGCACAACUGCUUGGGUUGAUUGUGUGGAAGGUUCAGAAAGGGGUUCCGGAUGGAGAAGAAUAUAGGUCUUCAAGCUCAGGAAUGCUGAGAGGGAGAUUAAGAAUCUCAAGAAGAUGAGGCAUGAGGAUGCAAAGGCCAAUGAGAAAGUUGUGGGGAUCUUUGCUACACAGGAGCAUAGUUGGUUGCAUGAAAGGCGAAAACUUCGGCAGCACAUUGGGGCUCUGAUGAAUGAGCUGAGAGUGUUUGAAAAGAAAAAGGAUGAGGCUGUCUCUGAAAUGAGCCAAAAAUUGAAGGAAAUAGAGGAUUUGCUGGAGUCCAGGGACAAAGUAAUUCAAGAAGGGGAGCAGAAGAGGAAGGAGUUGGAGGAAAAUCUUGCAAAGGCUGAAAGGGAAGCAGAAGAAUUGAGAGAAUCUGUUAAGCUUGAAGCUCAGGAACACUCCUCUGAUCUCAGGAAGCACAAAACUGUCUUUAUUGAGCUGGUGUCAAACCAACAGCAGCUAGAAGCGGAGCUUGGCCACGCCAUGAAGCAGUUGGAGGCUGCAAAGCAGGAGCUCGGUUCAGUCUUGGAGAAGAAGGAGGAGUCAGAAUUGUUGGCCCAAAAAUUGUCUAUUGAGAUUGUAUUUUGGUUGAACUUUUGCAUUUGUGUCUUUAUGCAUCUGACCUGUUCGACGAAAUGCUUCAUCCAUCUAAGGAAAUCAAGGGUAAAUUCAACUCCGGUAAAUCAACGGUGAUUAAUGCACUUCUUGGGGAAAGAUACCUGAAAGAGGGAGUUGUUCCAACUACUAAUGAGAAAGAAAUGACAAUUGUUGAUACGCUUGGAACUAAUGUGAUUCUUCAGAGGCAACAACGUCUCACAGAGGAAUUCGUACCAUGCGCUGACUUGUGACACAAGAUUGCCGAUAUGCCAAGCAGGACUUAGCUGCAAUUGUCAAUAGUGUAAAUGAUUUUGCAAUGGAUAUGGAAACUGAGAGCCUUUCUUGGAGGAGACAAACUUCUUCUUUGAUUGAGACUACAAAAUCACGUGCUAUGGAGCUCAUUGAAUCUACUUUACUAUUGUCAAAUCUUGAUAUUGUCAAAUCUCUUACCAAUUUUCCGUAGGAGUUAAGGCUGUGACAUCCUUUUCUUCAAAUUCCAGCUUUCUCACAAGCUGAUAUCGUCCCUCAAGCUUCACUUGGUCCAAUAAUAAUGAUGUAUAAUCUGAUUUGUUUCUUAUCUGCAUGUGGCUCUUGUCAUAUUUUGCUGAAGAGUGUUCUGAUUGAACCAACAAGUAGAAAUACUAGCAUCGGAUUAGCUUUCAUGGCCGUAGCCAAGGGUUACAAGGUCAAAAUUACAAUGCCUGCUUCAAUGAGUCUCGAAAGGAGAAUCACUAUACUAGCAUCGGAUUAGCUUUCAUGGCCGUAGCCAAGGGUUACAAGGUCAAAAUUACAAUGCCUGCUUCAAUGAGUCUCGAAAG